rnacentral:rRNA from 1 species
UCUAAGUAUAACCUGCCAGACAGGGAAACUGCGUACGGCUCAUUACACCAGCCUUAAUUUACUUGACCUUGACAACCUACUUGGAUAACUGUGGUAAUUCUAGAGCUAAUACAUGCACCAAAGCUCCGAUCCUCGCGGAGAGGAGCGCAUUUGUUCGCCACAAAACCAAGCGCCCAUCUGGGCGUCCAGUGCUGAACCAGAACAACUCAGCUGAUCGCACGGUCUUGUACCGGCGACGUGUCUUUCAAGUGUCUGCCUUAUCAACUUUCGAUGGUAGUGUACCUGACUACCAUGGUUGUGACGGGUAACGGAGGAUAAGGGUUCGACUCCGGAGAAGGGGCCUGAGAAAUGGCCACUACGUCUAAGGAUGGCAGCAGGCGCGCCAAUUACCCACUCUCAACGCGAGGAGGUAGUGACGAGAAAUAACGAGACCGUUCUCAUACGAGGCCGGUUAUUGGAAUGGGUACAAUUUAAA